CAGUAGCCACGGUAAUACGUAGGUGGCGAGCGUUGUCCGGAAUUAUUGGGCGUAAAGGGAGCGCAGGCGGGCGAGUAAGUCUUUCUUAAAAGUGCGGGGCUCAACCCCGUGAGGGGAGAGAAACUACUCAUCUUGAGUGCAGGAGAGGAAAGCGGAAUUCCUAGUGUAGCGGUGAAAUGCGUAGAUAUUAGGAAGAACACCAGUGGCGAAGGCGGCUUUCUGGCCUGUAACUGACACUGAGGCGCGAAAGCGUGGGGAGCAAACAGGAUUAGAUACCCCCGUAGUCCCUGUCUCUUAUACA
rnacentral:rRNA from 1 species